rnacentral:rRNA from 1 species
GAUGAACGCUGGCGGCGUGCCUAAUACAUGCAAGUCGAGCGAACAGACGAGGAGCUUGCUCCUCUGACGUUAGCGGCGGACGGGUGAGUAACACGUGGAUACCCUACCUAUAAGACUGGGAUAACUUCGGGAAACCGGAGCUAAUACCGGAUAAUAUAUUGAACCGCAUGGUUCAAUAGUGAAAGACGGUUUUGCUGUCACUUAUAGCUGGAUCCGCGCCGCAUUAGCUAGUUGGUAAGGUAACGGCUUUCCAAGGCAACGAUGCGUAGCCGACCUGAGAGGGUGAUCGGCCACACUGGAACUGAGACACGGUCCAGACUCCUACGGGAGGCAGCAGUAGGGAAUCUUCCGCAAUGGGCGAAAGCCUGACGGAGCAACGCCGCGUGAGUGAUGAAGGUCUUCGGAUCGUAAAACUCUGUUAUUAGGGAAGAACAAAUGUGUAAGUAACUAUGCACGUCUUGACGGUACCUAAUCAGAAAGCCACGGCUAACUACGUG